rnacentral:rRNA from 1 species
AUUGAACGCUGGCGGCAGGCCUAACACAUGCAAGUCGAACGAGUGGCGGACGGGUGAGUAAUGUCUGGGAAACUGCCUGAUGGAGGGGGAAACCUAUUGGAAACGGUAGCUAAAACCGCAUACCACCCUUUGGGCCCAGAUGGGAUUAGCUAGUCGGUGGGGUAACGGCUCACCAAGGCGACGAUCCCUAGCUGGUCUGAGAGGAUGACCAGCCACACUGGAACUGAGACACGGUCCAGACUCCUACGGGAGGCAGCAGUGGGGAAUAUUGGACAAUGGGCGCAAGCCUGAUGCAGCCAUGCCGCGUGUAUGAAGAAGGCCUUCGGGUUGUAAAGUACUUUCAGCGGGGAGGCGUUACCCGCAGAGGAAGCACCGGCUAACUCCGUGCCAGCAGCCGCGGUAAUAC